rnacentral:rRNA from 1 species
GACGAACGCUGGCGGCGUGCUUAACACAUGCAAGUCGAACGGAAAGGCCCUGCUUUUGUGGGGUGCUCGAGUGGCGAACGGGUGAGUAACACGUGAGUAACCUGCCCUUGACUUUGGGAUAACUUCAGGAAACUGGGGCUAAUACCGGAUAGGAGCUCCUGCUGCAUGGUGGGGGUUGGAAAGUUUCGGCGGUUGGGGAUGGACUCGCGGCUUAUCAGCUUGUUGGUGGGGUAGUGGCUUACCAAGGCUUUGACGGGUAGCCGGCCUGAGAGGGUGACCGGCCACAUUGGGACUGAGAUACGGCCCAGACUCCUACGGGAGGCAGCAGUGGGGAAUAUUGCACAAUGGGCGGAAGCCUGAUGCAGCAACGCCGCGUGCGGGAUGACGGCCUUCGGGUUGUAAACCGCUUUCGCCUGUGACGAAGCGUGAGUGACGGUAAUGGGUAAAGAAGCACCGGCUAACUACGUGCCAGCAGCCGCGGUGAUACGUAGGGUGCGAGCGUUGUCCGGAUUUAUUGGGCGUAAAGGGCUCGUAGGUGGUUGAUCGCGUCGGAAGUGUAAUCUUGGGGCUUAACCCUGAGCGUGCUUUCGAUACGGGUUGACUUGAGGAAGGUAGGGGAGAAUGGAAUUCCUGGUGGAGCGGUGGAAUGCGCAGAUAUCAGGAGGAACACCAGUGGCGAAGGCGGUUCUCUGGGCCUUUCCUGACGCUGAGGAGCGAAAGCGUGGGGAGCGAACAGGCUUAGAUACCCUGGUAGUCCACGCUGUAAACGGUGGGUACUAGGUGUGGGGUCCAUUCCACGGGUUCCGUGCCGUAGCUAACGCUUUAAGUACCCCGCCUGGGGAGUACGGCCGCAAGGCUAAAACUCAAAGGAAUUGACGGGGCCCCGCACGAGCGGCGGAGCAUGCGGAUUAAUUCGAUGCAACGCGUAGAACCUUACCUGGGUUUGACAUGGAUCGGGAGCGCUCAGAGAUGGGUGUGCCUCUUUUGGGGUCGGUUCACAGGUGGUGCAUGGCUGUCGUCAGCUCGUGUCGUGAGAUGUUGGGUUAAGUCCCGCAACGAGCGCAACCCUUGUUCACUGUUGCCAGCACGUUAUGGUGGGGACUCAGUGGAGACCGCCGGGGUCAACUCGGAGGAAGGUGGGGAUGACGUCAAGUCAUCAUGCCCCUUAUGUCCAGGGCUUCACGCAUGCUACAAUGGCUGGUACAGAGAGUGGCGAGCCUGUGAGGGUGAGCGAAUCUCGGAAAGCCGGUCUCAGUUCGGAUUGGGGUCUGCAACUCGACCUCAUGAAGUCGGAGUCGCUAGUAAUCGCAGAUCAGCAACGCUGCGGUGAAUACGUUCCCGGG